rnacentral:rRNA from 1 species
AAAUUGAAGAGUUUGAUCAUGGCUCAGAUUGAACGCUGGCGGCAGGCCUAACACAUGCAAGUCGAACGGUAACAGGAAGCAGCUUGCUGCUUUGCUGACGAGUGGCGGACGGGUGAGUAAUGUCUGGGAAACUGCCCGAUGGAGGGGGAUAACUACUGGAAACGGUAGCUAAUACCGCAUAACGUCGCAAGACCAAAGAGGGGGACCUUAGGGCCUCUUGCCAUCGGAUGUGCCCAGAUGGGAUUAGCUAGUAGGUGGGGUAAAGGCUCACCUAGGCGACGAUCCCUAGCUGGUCUGAGAGGAUGACCAGCCACACUGGAACUGAGACACGGUCCAG